AAGGAACUUCAGAAGUUUUCCAGUGUGUUCCCCGCAGACCCACAGCCUCCAGAGCCUCAGCCAUCACCAUGUAAAUGCUAAUGAAUGACAAGUGCCACAGAGGACUUUCAUCUUACCAUUUGAUGAGGAAGUUGGCUCUGGACAUGGAACAAGGAUGAUUUCUGCCUUGCUUUGACACAACUAAUGGAGGUCACUGAAAUAAUCUUUCCCACUAGGAAGACUGUCACAAGGAAAGAAAGAAUGAAGGUCCGCAACCAACACCGAGUUCUGAGAAGCUGACAGGGAUGAUGUCCUACCCAGUUCUCACCUAAAGGAGGACGGUCCCCAAGCCAGAGGAAGCCGUCAGAGAGCUUCUCAGCUGAGAAUAUUCUACGAGGUCCCAAAGGUUAAGGAUGCCAGUUACAGAAGCUUGACAGAGCAAAAGGGGAAGGAUGUGUCACUUGGCCAUGUAGCUGACUGAGCUUAGGGAAUAAGAAAGCAAACGCAAUGGAGGUGACCAAGGGGUGACAACGCUUCACCAUCAAGAUGGAGACCAUACAGGGGACUGGGGGUCAGAGGGAAGUGAGGAUAGGGA